rnacentral:lncRNA from 1 species
CUGGCACAGCCUGCCCCGAAAGGGGACACGGGCACUGCCCUGGCACAGCCCUGGCACAGCCUGCCCCGAACGGGGACACGGGCACUGCCCUGGCACAGCCCUGGCACAGCCUGCCCCGAACGGGGACACGGGCACUGCACUCCAGCCCGCCUGGGGCUGUGUGGGACACCCAGACAUUGCCCUGGAACACAAAGCUCCUGCUGUGCCCCAGAGCAGCCCGAGGAGAGCCCGGCCUUGUCCGGGGGCUGUUGUUGUUCCGCUCAGCCCGGGGGCUCGGGGCAGCCGGAGCUGUCCCACCCCGCACACCAAGCGCAGUCCCUGGGGUGUGUUCGUGUCGCGGUCCCGCCCCCCCGUCCCGGUGGAGCUGUCAAUGUGACAAUGCCGUGCAAUGCUGCUACAGGAGCCACAUGUCAGUAGUGAAUGUAAAUGGUUGUAACAUGGUGAACAUGGACACGUUUUCUUUUCAAAUGUGAUGUAAACUUUGUACAGUACAAAUUUUUUUUUUAUAUUUUCUAUGAACUGUCUUCCAGAAUUGCUAUUAAAUUAAUUACAAAUUGUUAGAAUUAACAGUUUCUGUAUUAGUUUAUGCAACCAGGAAAAAAAAAAAAGAGUGCACUCUAUGCUACUGGAAUUCUGGAUAUGUAGGAAUCUUUUCAGUGAAUAAAUCUUUGGUCUGGGUAAGGCAAGUGUUACCGAGUCCUGGUUUGACCUUCCCCUCCCAGUGACCCACAGCUGAACCAGAACAGAGUCCCACAGACACCCCCCAGCACAGCAGCUCCUGCAUCCCUCUGCUCCCUGCCCUUCCCCUCCAGGUGAUCUCCCCUGCACAAGUCCCUUGCAAUUACAAAGUUUUCCCUCCUGGAUAGCACGGAGCUGUUUAAAAAGCUGCUUUCCCCCAAAAGCAGCACUCGGCCCCAGCACCUUCCCCAUCCUUUGCACAAGGCCCUGCCCCCCCUCCCACCUGCAGAGUGGGGCAGGGCUCUGCCAGUCAGACCCAGCUCUCCACACUGCAAGUGCCCUGAGCACUUAAAAUUAACCCCAGCAAGGUUCUGCUGCUGCCAUCAGCUUUGUGCCAUCCUGCCAGGAAUGGGCCAGGGCAGCAGAAAGCAGAGUUUUACAUCUCAUCCAUCUUUAUCUACAUCUCGCACACAAACAAUAAAAAGCUUCAGAUAAGUUGAGCUUUGUUGUCUUUCAUAAAGAAUAAGAAAUAACAAAUUUAAUUCUCAAUUACACUUGAAGGGCAGAGGUGUUCAUCUAACAAACCAAGCCACACAAACGCCAGUCUCCAAGCACAAAGGCUCUGCCCUG